GCAUAUCAAUAAGCGGAGGAAAAGAAACCAACAGGGAUUGCCCUAGUAACGGCGAGUGAAGCGGCAACAGCUCAAAUUUGAAAUCUGGCCUCGGCCCGAGUUGUAAUUUGCAGAGGAUGCUUCUGGCGCGGUGCCUUCCGAGUUCCCUGGAACGGGACGCCACAGAGGGUGAGAGCCCCGUAUGGUCGGACACCAAGCCUGUGUGAAGCUCCUUCGACGAGUCGAGUAGUUUGGGAAUGCUGCUCAAAAUGGGAGGUAAAUCUCUUCUAAAGCUAAAUACUGGCCAGAGACCGAUAGCGCACAAGUAGAGUGAUCGAAAGAUGAAAAGCACCUUGAAAAGGGGGUUAAACAGUACGUGAAAUUGUUGAAAGGGAAGCGCUUGUGACCAGACUUGCGCCGGGCGGCUCAUCAGGGGUUCUCCCCUGUGUACUCCGCCCGGUUCAGGCCAGCAUCGGUUCUCGCCGGGGGAUAAGAACGGUGGGAACGUGGCCCUCCCUCGGGGGGGUGUUAUAGCCCGCCGUACGAUAUCCUGGCGGGGACCGAGGUUCGCGCUCCGCAAGGAUGCUGGCGUAAUGGUCAUCAGCGACCCGUCUUGAAACACGGACCAAGGAGUCGUCCAUUAGAGCGAGCGUUUGGGUGUAAAACCCGCACGCGUAAUGAAAGUGAAAUUAGGUGAGAGCUUCGGCGCAUCAUCGACCGAUCCUGAUGUUCUCGGAUGGAUUUGAGUAAGAGUUUUAACGGACGGACCCGAAAGACAGUGAACUAUGCUUGUAUAGGGUGAAGCCAGAGGAAACUCUGGUGGAGGCUCGCAGCGGUUCUGACGUGCAAAUCGAUCGUCAAAUAUGAGCAUGGGGGCGAAAGACUAAUCGAACUGUCUAGUAGCUGGUUACCGCCGAAGUU
rnacentral:rRNA from 1 species